rnacentral:rRNA from 1 species
GACGAACGCUGGCGGCGUGCCUAAUACAUGCAAGUAGAACGCAGUUUCGCACGGGUGAGUAACGCGUAGGUACCUGCCUGGUAGCGGGGGAUAACUAUUUUACACGCUAGCUAUUACCCCAUACUCCCCGAUGGACCUGCGUUGUAUUAGCUAGUUGGUGGGGUAACGGCUUACCAAGGCAACGAUAAAUAGCCGACCUGAGAGGGGGAUCGGCCAAACUGGGACUGAGACACGGCCCAGACUACUACGGGAGGCAGCAGUAGGGAAUCUUCGGCAAUGGGGGGAACCCUGACCGAGCAACGCCGCGUGAGUGAAGAAGGUUUUCGGAUCGUAAAGCUCUGGUGUUAAGGAAGCGGUACUUAACCAGAAAGGGACGGCUAACUACGUGCCAGCAGCCGCGGUAAUUC